CCACUGCCUACCUCGACGGAGGGAAAGGCCAGUUUUACCUUUUCUGGCCUGACAGUGGCUUCUUUCAAAAGG
rnacentral:sRNA from 1 species